ACUCAAAUGAAUUGACGGGGGCCCGCACAAGCAGCGGAGCGUGUGGUUUAAUUCGACGCAACGCGCAGAACCUUACCUAGGCUUGACAUGUAGCUGCACACCGCGGAAACGCGGCUCCUUCGAGGGUGCUACACAGGUGCUGCAUGGCUGUCGUCAGCUCGUGUCGUGAGAUGUUGGGUUAAGUCCCGCAACGAGCGCAACCCCCGGUGACUGUUACAAGUGUCAGUCACGACAGCCGGUGCCAACACCGGAGGAAGGCGGGGAUGACGUCAAGUCCGCAUGGCCCUUACGCCUAGGGCGACACACACGCUACAAUGGUCGGGACAAUGCGUCGCCGCGUAGCAAUACGUAGCUAAUCGCCUAAACCCGGCCUCAGUCCAGAUUGGGGGCUGCAACUCGCCCCCAUGAAGGCGGAGUUGCUAGUAACCGCCGGUCAGCCAUACGGCGGUGAAUCUGUACCCGGGCCUUGUACACACCGCCCGU
rnacentral:rRNA from 1 species